UCAUUGUAUGAUUUAGCCUUAAGUAUAGAGCAUUGAACAUUUGUAUUACUUUAAAAUAGCAAAGCUAUAAAGUAAGGUGUAGAAAUGACAAGUAUUACAAUGUUGUGGAUCAUGCAAAUAUUUUGGGUCUUUGCAAUCUUUCUAAUAGACGAUGUUCUUUGUCGUGCAAAAUUCCGAACCAUACCAGUCUACACUGGACCAAACUGGACUAUUGGAUAUAUCGUCGGUGGUACAGUAGGUAUGAUUAUAUUGGUAAUCGGCUGUUUUUGUAGUUGUUGUAGAUCUUGUAAAAAAUCCACAGGAACCACGGCCACCCCUACAGCCACCACCAGCAACGUCUCCUACAUUCAACCACCCAAAGGACAACCAGGAGCCUACGAUAAUCCAGCCAUGAUCCAGUCAUCCCCACCUUACCAAAAUACCAACAGAUCAAAGGACAUUGGUACUGAUUCUAAACAGUAAUGUGCAUUCAUAACGGAUGUAUGAUGGCUUAAUAAACACAAUAUUAUCAAGAAAUCCAGCUACAUAAAGCGUUUUUGUUUUCUAUUUCUGUUCCUGCUUCAUAUGGAGUCGGUCAACUAAUUAUACAAGUUAUUUAUACUAAAUGCUCUUCUUCUUUUCUGCUUGCUGUUCGUGAAUAUUAAUAAUUUUGAGUUGGAUGGAUCAGUAGGCAAACAGACGCCCAGUUAGGGAAUAUCCUAUGAAAAAGUGCAUUUCAACUACAGGUUCAACUACCCGAACUGCCCAGGGUUGGAUUAACAGUAUGUCUGUUUUAUAUAAUGUGCAUAUUGUCUCUCAUAAUUAUUAAUAAAUUACAGUUUUUUUUAAU